UGGAAUGUGGCUUAGUGGUAGAGUGCUUGCCUAGCAUGCAUGAAGCCCUGGGUUUGAUUUCUCAGUGCUACAU
rnacentral:tRNA from 1 species